rnacentral:rRNA from 1 species
AUUGAACGCUGGCGGCAUGCCUUACACAUGCAAGUCGAACGGCAGCGGGGGAGAAGCUUGCUCUUCCUGCCGGCGAGUGGCGAACGGGUGAGUAAUACAUCGGAACGUGCCCUGUAGUGGGGGAUAACUAGUCGAAAGAUUAGCUAAUACCGCAUACGACCUGAGGGUGAAAGUGGGGGACCGCAAGGCCUCAUGCUAUAGGAGCGGCCGAUGUCUGAUUAGCUAGUUGGUGGGGUAAAGGGCUACCAAGGCGACGAUCAGUAGCUGGUCUGAGGGGACGAUCAGCCACACUGGGACUGAGACACGGCCCAGACUCCUACGGGAGGCAGCAGUGGGGAAGUUUGGACAAUGGGCGAAAGCCUGAUCCAGCAAUGCCGCGUGUGUGAAGAAGGCCUUCGGGUUGUAAAGCACUUUUGUCCGGAAAGAAAUGGCUCUGGUUAAUACCUGGGGUCGAUGACGGUACCGGAAGAAUAAGGACCGGCUAACUACGUGCCAGCAGCCGCCGUAA